UACGAAGGGGGCGAGCGUUGUUCGGAAUCACUGGGCGUAAAGGGCGCGUAGGCGGCCCUCUUAGUCGCGUGUGAAAGCCCCGGGCUCAACCUGGGAACGGCGCGCGAAACGGGAGGGCUGGAGUUCGGGAGAGGAGAGUGGAAUUCCCAGUGUAGAGGUGAAAUUCGUAGAUAUUGGGAAGAACACCGGUGGCGAAGGCGGCUCUCUGGACCGAGACUGACGCUGAGAUGCGAAAGCCAGGGGAGCGAACGGG
rnacentral:rRNA from 1 species